rnacentral:lncRNA from 1 species
UAGCUUCUAUAACUCUCAUGCUGCUAUACAAACUCGAUGUUCAGUGCUAGCUAUUGCAAUCCUCAAUAAUUAAAGCUACACUAGAUUGAAUACUGUAGCUAUAGUUUUGCUAAACUGAAGGUGAGAUCAUGAAGAUGUGGUGUAGUGCGAUGUCACAGUUGUACUCUUGCGUCUUCACUUGAAAAAAAAGGUAUCGUGUGCCAGUAGGGCAAAAAGUGUUAAAAGCUCGUUCCUAUGUGAGUGCAUAGCCUUACUUUACAAUUAAUACAUAUAUUAAUCUAUGAUAAAGUGAGUAACAGGGAAAGUUUAAAGCCCCUUCUUAUGAACUGUGUUGGUUUCUGUUCUUUUUCAGAGACUCUGGAUUCCAUACAUGUCAAUGCAUAUCUAUAUAUGGCAUGUCCACAAUCGGAGAUAAAAUUAUUUUUUAAUAUUUGUCAUUAGAUUUUAGAACUUGGUUUUAGUGCGUACGUACGUGAGAUCUUGGUAACAGUGAACCGACUUCAUCCUUGGCUUUUCUUGUUUUCUCAACCUUCCUUAGUAACGAGAAGUCUAAGUUAUGUCUUGCAAAUUUUAGUUUAAUAUGAUG